GGCUACAUGGGAGAGUGGCAGCUUCCCACUUUGUUUAUUUCAUCAUGGGAAUUAAUUAAUUAGGUUUGAUUUAUCUUAGUAAAAUCAAAGAAAAAACAAAAAAAUUAAGAAAAGUCAAGAACUUCCCUUUCUCUUUCUUCCUUGCUCGACCACCGCAAGACCAGCCUAGACCUGGGAUUUUUCUCUGGUGUUAAUUAAGGAGUGCUAGAUGAAUUCAAGGAGUAAUUAGUGAAGGUAAAGGAAAGGCGAAGGUUGAACAGGAGUGAGCCUCGAGCUUAGAUGAUGUUGUACAUGUCAUGGCGGCGCGACCUAGAGUGUUCGGUUUGAGGACAUCUCGGUUUUUUUUUUGUAGUCGUUGUGCAACCUGACUAAAUGUAUUUUGAAUAUUUUGUAAAAGUUUAAUUACGGGAACCCGACUUUUGUAAUUAUAUAUAUAAAAGUUUAAUAAUUAAAUCUAAAAGUUUAAUUAGACACAAUUUUCAAGGAAAUUUCUUUGAUUAGCAAAGAUCGCACUGUAACUGAAAAAAUUAAUGUAGCGUGCCUAAGUAUCAGGGCGGUACAAUUUUGGUAUCAGAACUGUCAGGUUUGUCUACCAAAGAUCGCCAAGACAUGUACAAUCAUCAUCACAGAAAAGUUUGGCUCACGGUUCAGUAA